rnacentral:rRNA from 1 species
UACGUAGGGUGCAAGCGUUAAUCGGAAUUACUGGGCGUAAAGCGUGCGCAGGCGGUUUUGUAAGACCGUUGUGAAAUCCCCGGGCUUAACCUGGGAAUUGCGAUGGUGACUGCAAGGCUAGAGUUUGGCAGAGGGGGGUAGAAUUCCACGUGUAGCAGUGAAAUGCGUAGAGAUGUGGAGGAACACCGAUGGCGAAGGCAGCCCCCUGGGUCAAAACUGACGCUCAUGCACGAAAGCGUGGGGAGCAAACAGG